AUUGAACGCUGGCGGCAGGCCUAACACAUGCAAGUCGAGCGGCAGCGGGAAAGUAGCUUGCUACUUUUGCCGGCGAGCGGCGGACGGGUGAGUAAUGCCUGGGAAAUUGCCCAGUCGAGGGGGAUAACAGUUGGAAACGACUGCUAAUACCGCAUACGCCCUACGGGGGAAAGCAGGGGACCUUCGGGCCUUGCGCGAUUGGAUAUGCCCAGGUGGGAUUAGCUAGUUGGUGAGGUAAUGGCUCACCAAGGCGACGAUCCCUAGCUGGUCUGAGAGGAUGAUCAGCCACACUGGAACUGAGACACGGUCCAGACUCCUACGGGAGGCAGCAGUGGGGAAUAUUGCACAAUGGGGGAAACCCUGAUGCAGCCAUGCCGCGUGUGUGAAGAAGGCCUUCGGGUUGUAAAGCACUUUCAGCGAGGAGGAAAGGUCAGUAGCUAAUACCUGCUGGCUGUGACGUUACUCGCAGAAGAGGCACCGGCUAACUACGUGCCAGCCGCCGCGGUAAAAC
rnacentral:rRNA from 1 species